UUAUGUACAUGCCUACAACAUAGCGUUAAUCAAUCAAAUACCAUUAUAACUUUGCAGUUAAGCGUGCUCGGGAUAGAGUAGUAUUGGGAUGGGUGACUACCCAGGAAGUCCUAGUAUUUUACAUACC
rfam:Picea glauca, whole genome shotgun sequence.